rnacentral:tRNA from 1 species
GGAAGGAUGUCCGAGAGGUCGAUGGUAGCUGCCUUGAAAGCAGCCGUGGGGAAACUCACCGGGGGUUCGAAUCCCUCUCCUUCCG